rnacentral:rRNA from 1 species
ACGCUCGACACCUACGGAGGCAGCAGUUAGGAAUAUUGGGCAAUGGAGGAAACUCUGACCCAGCAACGCCGCGUGAAGGAAGAAGGUUUUCGGAUUGUAAACUUCUGAUCUAGGGGAAGAAGGAAGUGACGGUACCCUAGGAGAAAGCCACGGCUAACUACGUGCCAGCACGCCGGAGUACUNAGCGGCGNGNAG